rnacentral:rRNA from 1 species
AGCUCCAAUAGCGUAUAUUAAAGUUGUUGCAGUUAAAAAGCUCGUAGUUGAAAUUGGGCGCGGCUGGCCGGUCCGCCUCACGGCGUGUACUGGUCUAGGCCGUGCUUUCCUCUUGGAUCGCUCGGGAGCGCUUCAUUGUGCGCUCGGGAUGAUCCAGGACUUUUACUUUGAAAAAAUUAGAGUGUUCAAAGCAGGCAUUUGCUCGGAUACAUUAGCAUGGAAUAAUGGAAUAGGACGUUGGUUCUAUUUUGUUGGUUUCUAGGACCACCGUAAUGAUUAAUAGGGAUAGUUGGGGGCAUUAGUAUUCAAUUGUCAGAGGUGAAAUUCUUGGAUUUAUUGAAGACUAACUACUGCGAAAGCAUUUGCCAAGGAUGUUUUCA